rnacentral:rRNA from 1 species
GAUGAACGCUGGCGGCGUGCCUAACACAUGCAAGUCGAGCGUGAUUGUGUGGAUUGAAGCUUCGGCCGAGAGAAACACAUGAAAGCGGCGGACGGGUGAGUAACGCGUGGGCAACCUGCCCCAUACAGCGGAAUAGCCACUGGAAACGGUGAUUAAUGCCGCAUAAGACCACGGCAUCGCAUGAUGCAGCGGUCAAAGAUUUAUCGGUAUGGGAUGGGCCCGCGUCUGAUUAGCUAGUUGGUGAGGUAAUGGCUCACCAAGGCGACGAUCAGUAGCCGACCUGGGAGGGCGGACGGCCACACUGGAACUGAGACACGGUCCAGACUCCUACGGGAGGCAGCAGUGGGGAAUCUUGGACAAUGGGGGCAACCCUGAUCCAGCGACGCCGCGUGAAGGAUGAAGGUCUUCGGAUUGUAAACUUCUUUUGUUGGGGAAUAAAAAAUCUGUGGAAACACGGAGAUUGAAUGUACCCGAUGAAUAAGCCACGGCUAACUUCGUGCCAGCC